AAUUUUAUAUCAACUACACAAUUAUAAUAUCAAUAAAUGCACAUUAACAAUGAAAAAUUACAAUAAUCAAUCAAGCCUAGCAUAAAGAAAGAAACAAGCCUCACAGAUUGACGGAGGAAACAAAGUUCACAUCAAAGAAAAUAAAUUCACACAAAGGAAUGAAUCUAACAUGAUACAUAAAUGUCCCCUGACCCAUCUUAACUAACAGGCUAAGAGCAUUAAUAAUAGUUUCCCUAAUCAACUCUCUAUCCCCAAUUUUAAAGAAUACAUCAAUAAAUCAUUAUCCAACAGCUUCCUUAUCCUUAUUUGACUCUCUAUUUUAAUCCCUAUAUAGGAUUUUACUCCCCAGUGUGAGGGAGUCAAAAGACUGUUCUCUAUAUAUACAAAAUGACAUUUCACACCCUCAUUUAAGUGGACAACUCAUCAAUCAUACACAUCUUGAAAAAAAAU
rnacentral:lncRNA from 1 species